rnacentral:rRNA from 1 species
CCGAAUGGGGAAACCCAGUGUGAUUCGUCACACUAUCAUUAACUGAAUCCAUAGGUUAAUGAAGCGAACCGGGGGAACUGAAACAUCUAAGUACCCCGAGGAAAAGAAAUCAACCGAGAUUCCCCCAGUAGCGGCGAGCGAACGGGGAGGAGCCCAGAGCCUGAAUCAGCAUGUGUGUUAGUGGAAGCGUCUGGAAAGGCGCGCGAUACAGGGUGACAGCCCCGUACACAAAAGCGCAUGUGCUGUGAGCUCGAUGAGUAGGGCGGGACACGUGGUAUCCUGUCUGAAUAUGGGGGGACCAUCCUCCAAGGCUAAAUACUCCUGACUGACCGAUAGUGAACCAGUACCGUGAGGGAAAGGCGAAAAGAACCCCGGCGAGGGGAGUGAAACAGAACCUGAAACCGUGUACGUACAAGCAGUGGGAGCACAGGUUUACCUGUGUGACUGCGUACCUUUU